GCUACCGCCCCUUAUACAGGUACGGAAAGGGGGUGCGUUAUUGUGAAUAUAAUUUCUUCGUUUAUGCUUUCUAUUUUGGCAAGUGUAAUCGCCUACUACAUUUGCAAAUGGCUGGAUAGAAAAUAAGCAGCUGGUAGUCAGCCUGGGGACUAAUCCACCUCGCCAAAACGGAAAAAAAGCCCCGGAGUUUGCGCCUCCGGGGCUUUUGCUGCGUUA
rnacentral:sRNA from 1 species